GGGAGGUCGCGGCCAGCGCCCCGGCUUAGUGCACCAGGGCCCGCACCUGCCUCCCGGACGCCAGCCCCUGCCUGCGGGGGGCGCGAGUGGGGCUCCUCCUGGGCCCCCGCCCAUCUCUCGGCUGGGGACUCGGCUCUCAGGAGCCCGCGGGCGGCCGAGAAGGCGGCGGAAAGCGCUGAGUCACGUUCAGGGCCUGGGGGGGCCCCCCCGGGGAGCCCGGCCUUCCUGGCGCGGGCUGCGGGAGCGCGCGGGCCCGCGGGGGGUCGGGGCUGCGGGGGCGGGGGCGCAUCCGGGGUGCGGCUGGGUGCAGGAGGCGACGGGGGGCGCUCCGGGGCUUGGGGGUGUCGCCCGGAGCCCCCGCGCAGGGCAGCCCGGCCGCGGCGUCCUCGGUUGCCAGGAGCCGCGGGACCGAAAUGCGGGGGGUGCCCGCGGCUGACGUCACGGCGCCCGCUGGCCCGGACCCCCUCCGCGGGCGGGUCUAGGCGACGGGGUGGGGGCGCCCCCCCACAUCGCAGCAGCCGCCCUGGCCGCCGGGCUCGGCCCGCACCCCGGGCCCUCCCGAGUCUCCCUCCCCCGCGGGCUUUCUUCUCGUCCCCACGUUGCUCUUUUCAGCCCCUUUCCGCCCCCACCCCCGCCCGGUUCCACCGUCCACCUGCCCUCCGCUGCUCUCUUCCUUUCUUUGCACCCCCGGGACUUUCUCGCAGCUUCCAGCCGCCGGGAGCCGCCGAGAGGCCCGUGGGUGUCGGGCGCCCCCUCGCGGCCCCCUGUGCGCCCGGCCUGGGGUGGGAGAGACCCGGCGCUGGCCCCCCAGCACCCCUUACCGGUCGGGGGCAGGGUGCAACUCCUGAGGGGGGGGGCGCCCCCCAGCGGCCCGGCUCACAGGGUUCUGGAAAGCAGAAGGCCCUUGGGACUGAAGAAGCCGCAGGGGAGCCGGCAGAGAAGGGGCAGAUGUUGCUCCAAGGAGCCAAGGCCCGCCUCUUCAGGUUCUUCACACAUUUGUCCAUAGAACCUCCUCAGGGACCUGCUGGAAGUCUGUGGUCUGACCUGCAGGGGAGAGAAGGGCGUGAGAGAGAGAGUUGUGGCAGGGCAGAAACGGGGAGUUGA
rnacentral:lncRNA from 1 species